rnacentral:rRNA from 1 species
UACGAAGGGGACUAGCGUUGCUCGGAAUCACUGGGCGUAAAGCGCACGUAGGCGGCUUGUUAAGUCAGGGGUGAAAUCCUGGAGCUCAACUCCAGAACUGCCUUUGAUACUGGCGAGCUUGAGUCCGGGAGAGGUGAGUGGAACUGCGAGUGUAGAGGUGAAAUUCGUAGAUAUUCGCAAGAACACCAGUGGCGAAGGCGGCUCACUGGCCCGGUACUGACGCUGAUACGCGAAAGCGUGGGGAGCAAACAGG